AUGUUGGCUCUGGACUCUGAUAUUCCUCCACCGAAUUUUUAUGCCCAAGGUGACACAGAUCUCCUUUCUCUUUCCUCAGAACAAACCCAUGGAGACUCAGUGACUCAGACUGAAGGCCAAGUGACCCUCUUAGAAGAGGCUUCCCUGACUGUGAACUGCACUUAUUCAGCAUCAGGAUACUUUACUCUUUUCUGGUAUGUCCAGUGUCCCGGUGAAGGUCUACAGCUCUUCCUGAAAGCCUUGAGGGACAAGGAGAAGAAAAGCAACAAAGGAUUUGAAGCCACCUUUCACAGCAAAUCGAAAGCCUUCCACUUGGAGAAAGGCUCAGUGCAAGCUUCAGAUUCAUCUGUGUGCUACUGUGCCCUGAGUGACACAGUGACAGGUACUGCAGGAGGAGCUGAGCACAAACUGAGCUGA